AUACAUGCAAGUCGUACGCUUCUUUUUCCACCGGAGCUUGCUCCACCGGAAAAAGAAGAGUGGCGAACGGGUGAGUAACACGUGGGUAACCUGCCCAUCAGAAGGGGAUAACACUUGGAAACAGGUGCUAAUACCGUAUAACAAUCGAAACCGCAUGGUUUUGAUUUGAAAGGCGCUUUCGGGUGUCGCUGAUGGAUGGACCCGCGGUGCAUUAGCUAGUUGGUGAGGUAACGGCUCACCAAGGCCACGAUGCAUAGCCGACCUGAGAGGGUGAUCGGCCACAUUGGGACUGAGACACGGCCCAAACUCCUACGGGAGGCAGCAGUAGGGAAUCUUCGGCAAUGGACGAAAGUCUGACCGAGCAACGCCGCGUGAGUGAAGAAGGUUUUCGGAUCGUAAAACUCUGUUGUUAGAGAAGAACAAGGAUGAGAGUAACUGUUCAUCCCUUGACGGUAUCUAACCAGAAAGCCACGGCUAAGUACGUGCCAGCAGCCGCGGUAAUACGUAGGUGGCAAGCGUUGUCCGGAUUUAUUGGGCGUAAAGCGAGCGCAGGCGGUUUCUUAAGUCUGAUGUGAAAGCCCCCGGCUCAACCGGGGAGGGUCAUUGGAAACUGGGAGACUUGAGUGCAGAAGAGGAGAGUGGAAUUCCAUGUGUAGCGGUGAAAUGCGUAGAUAUAUGGAGGAACACCAGUGGCGAAGGCGGCUCUCUGGUCUGUAACUGACGCUGAGGCUC
rnacentral:rRNA from 1 species